UAUCUCUGCCGGCGUCCUGUGCAUGUCAAACCCAGGUAAGGUUCUUCGCGUUGCAUCGAAUUAAUCCACAUGCUCCGCCGCUUGUGCGGGCCCCCGUCAAUUCCUUUGAGUUUUAGCCUUGCGGCCGUACUCCCCAGGCGGGGUACUUAAUGCGUUAGCUACGGCACGGAUCCCAAGGAAGGAAACCCACACCUAGUACCCACCGUUUACGGCGUGGACUACCAGGGUAUCUAAUCCUGUUCGCUCCCCACGCUUUCGCUCCUCAGCGUCAGUUACUGCCCAGAGACCCGCCUUCGCCACCGGUGUUCCUCCUGAUAUCUGCGCAUUCCACCGCUACACCAGGAAUUCCAGUCUCCCCUGCAGUACUCUAGUCUGCCCGUAUCGCCCGCACGCCCACAGUUAAGCUGUGAGUUUUCACGAACAACGCGACAAACCACCUACGAGCUCUUUACGCCCAGUAAUUCCGGACAACGCUCGGACCCUACGUAUUACCGCGGCUGCUGGCACGUAGUUGGCCGGUCCUUCUUCUGCACAUACCGUCACUUGCGCUUCGUCUGUGCUGAAAGAGGUUUACAACCCGAAGGCCGUCAUCCCUCACGCGGCGUCGCUGCAUCAGGCUUGCGCCCAUUGUGCAAUAUUCCCCACUGCUGCCUCCCGUAGGAGUCUGGGCCGUAUCUCAGUCCCAGUGUGGCCGGUCACCCUCUCAGGCCGGCUACCCGUCGUCGCCUUGGUAGGCCAUCACCCCACCAACAAGCUGAUAGGCCGCGGGCCCAUCCCACACCGCAAAAGCUUUCCCCUACCAGGCCAUGCGACCAGCAGGGUGUAUUCGGUAUUAGACCCAGUUUCCCAGGCUUAUCCCAAAGUGCAGGGCAGAUCACCC
rnacentral:rRNA from 1 species